rnacentral:rRNA from 1 species
GACGAAGGAUGCAAGCGUUAUCCGGAUUCAUUGGGUUUAAAGGGAGCGUAGGCGGACUUGUAAGUCAGUGGUGAAAUCUGUGGGCUUAACCCACAAACUGCCAUUGAUACUGCAGGUCUAGAGUACAGUUGCCGUUGGCGGAAUAUGACAUGUAGUGGUGAAAUACUUAGAUAUGUCAUAGAACACCGAUUGCGAAGGCAGCUAACGAAGCUGUAACUGACGCUGAGGCGCGAAAGCGUGGGGAGCAAACAGG